CACCAUUUUUAUUUUUGGUUGAACUAUCCCUUUAAUACUUUUUUUUCCACAGUAGGCCUGUGUGAUGACUUUUAUUUUUCGAUAUCCGAAGAGAAUUCUCAUUUUUUUCUGAGUUUUAUUUAAUUUAUUUGCCUAUUAAUAAUAUUAAAAAAAAUCAGUAAGUAUUUCAGACGUUUUCUUUCUUAAUUCCUUUUUAAAUAAAAUUCAUUCAAGCAAUCGGGACAAUCUUACUGGCUGGUUGUCUCUCUUCCUCGUCAACAUCAACACCUCCACUGUCAUGUCGAGACAGGGUCUGGCGAGGUAUCUUUGCCAUACAGUGAGGUUCCAGGUAUAACUUAUAUUUCUGCCUAUUUCUACGCAUCUUUGUAAAAAAAAAAAAAAAAAAACCCAACAACAACAACAACAACAAAAAAAAAAAACUAUAAAAAAUGUACAGUGCUUGAGACGAAUCGUUGACGGAGCGCUUUGUCACGUACGAGGGGGCGGAGCUUAGCUUGCGCGAGACUAACAUAUCAACUGAAAAUAACGGUAGAAUUUUAAAACUGAUUUGCCAUCGUUCACUUGCGAAACCGCUCUACUUUUCAGUCAGCAUGUUUGCCUACGUCCGGUUUAUCGACGACAACAUCCGUCAGAUUGUUCCCUUGGACCAUAUAAAAGACUUCUGUCCACAGGACGUCAAGGAUUUUGAAAUAAAGAAAAAAUAUCAUAUUUUGUGGAAGAAAUCCGCAGAGGACCAGGGACAAUACUACAAAGCACAGAUAUUAAAAUUGGCUGAAACUGAAGAGGAAUUAACUCGUGAGAGAAUCUCGAUACCCCCACUCGAUAGUGAUGAGGAAGACCGGUCAUCCUCGAGAAGGUCCAUGAAUCCAUCUUGUGACAACACAAAUGACAAGAAAAAAAAAAGGCAGCAGUCCAAAGCAUUAAAAAAAGGAAGAAUUUAAUGGAUAUCCUAAAAGAAAAGAAAAAAGUUAUCCAGACCAGUUUUGAAUCACAAGAGGAACAUGUCCCCAUGGCUGUGCACAAGGAACUGCAAGACAAAUACUACAACCUAAAAAAAAGGAUGCGAGAGGAGGAGAUGUCUAAUGAAGAAAACGAGAAAACAAUUAAAUUUUUAAAAGAAGAGAAAAGGGACAUGAAGGCUGAACUGCAGCAACUAAGGUGGUUAAACCUAAAUCUCCAAGAGGAGCUUUACAAAAAAAAAAAAAUAACACAGAAUGAGACCUCUUCUGCAGUCCAUACUCCACUCCCUCAACGGCCAUUUCAUGGUACAGAAAAACUAGCAGAAAAGCAAACAGAGAUGAUACCCAAAAUAAAACAAAAAGAACCACAGACCUCUUCUGCAGGCCACACUCAACUCCCACAGCAACCAGUUCUUGGUCCGGAAGAACCAGCAGAGGAGCUAGGACACAGGGAUGGCAAGGUAUUUGUAGUAUGUUCAGUUCAAUAAAGAGGAAGGAGACCGGGGUCGGUGUACGGGGCUCGUGGGAAACUUUAUUUAAAUAAUAAUAACACAAAAUAAACAAACGCAACAGGUGCGCGCACUUCACAGUCUCUAUCAGAAUCAGAAUCGGAAAGAGCUUUAUUACCAAGUAUGCUUGUGCAUACAAUGAAUUUGUUUUAGUGACAUAAGCUUCCAGUACACAGA